rnacentral:rRNA from 1 species
GGUAAAUCUCGUGCCAGCCACCGCGGCCAUACGAUUAACCCAAGUUAAUAAGCACACGGCGUAAAGCGUGUUAAAGCACUGUACUAAAUAAAGUUAAAUUCCAAUUAAGCUGUAAAAAGCCAUAAUUGCAACAAAAAUAAACAACGAAGGUAACCUUAUAGCCGCUGAAACACGAUAGCUAGGACCCAAACUGGGAUUAGAUACCCCACUAUGCCUAGCCCUAAACACAAAUAGUUGUGUAAACAAAACUAUUCGCCAGAGUACUACCGGCAAUAGCUUAAAACUCAAAGGACUUGGCGGUGCUUUAUACCCUUCUAGAGGAGCCUGUUCUAUAAUCGAUAAACCCCGAUAAACCUCACCAUUCCUUGCUAAUACAGUCUAUAUACCGCCACCUUCAGCAAACCCUAAAAAGGUACAAAAGUAAGCACAAUCAUAAUACAUAAAAACGUUAGGUCAAGGUGUAACCUAUGGAAUGGGAAGAAAUGGGCUACAUUUUCUAACCUAAGAAAAUCUAAUACGAAAGUUAUUAUGAAACUAGUAACCAAAGGAGGAUUUAGCAGUAAACUAAGAAUAGAGUGCUUAGUUGAAUUAGGCCAUGAAGCACGCACACACCGCCCGUCACCCUCCUCAAGUAGGCACAAUACACUCAAAUUUAUUCAUACGUAUUAAUCACAUGAGAGGAGACAAGUCGUAACAAGGUAAGCAUACUGGA